rfam:Ixodes scapularis strain Wikel colony gcontig_1108378792202, whole genome shotgun sequence.
GCAGUCGUGGCCGAGUGGUGAAGGCGAUGUACUAGAAAUCCAUUGGGGUCUCCACCUCACAGGUUCGAAUCCUGUCGACUGCG